rnacentral:rRNA from 1 species
UACGUAGGGGGCAAGCGUUGUCCGGAUUUAUUGGGCGUAAAGAGCGUGUAGGCGGCCAUACAGGUCCGUUGUGAAAACUCGAGGCUCAACCUCGAGACGUCGAUGGAAACCGUAUGGCUAGAGUCCGGAAGAGGAGAGUGGAAUUCCUGGUGUAGCGGUGAAAUGCGCAGAUAUCAGGAUGAACACCCGUGGCGAAGGCGGCUCUCUGGGACGGUACUGACGCUGAGACGCGAAAGCGUGGGGAGCGAACAGG